rnacentral:rRNA from 1 species
AUUGAACGCUGGCGGCAUGCCUUACACAUGCAAGUCGAACGGUAACGCGGGGGCGAACCCUCGGCGACGAGUGGCGAACGGGUGAGUAAUACAUCGGAACGUACCCAGUAGUGGGGGAGUAGCUCGGCGAAAGCCGGAUUAAUACCGCAUACGACCUAUGGGUGGAAAGCGGGGGAGUCGCAAGACCUCGCGCUAUUGGAGCGGCCGAUGUCGGAUUAGCUAGUUGGUGAGGUAAAGGCUCACCAAGGCUACGAUCCGUAGCUGGUCUGAGAGGACGACCAGCCACACUGGGACUGGGACACGGCCCAGACUCCUACGGGAGGCAGCAGUGGGGAAUUUUGGACAAUGGGCGAAAGCCUGAUCCAGCCAUGCCGCGUGUGUGAAGAAGGCC